rnacentral:rRNA from 1 species
UACGUAGGUGGCAAGCGUUAUCCGGAAUUACUGGGCGUAAAGGGUGUGCAGGCGGGGUUGCAAGUGGUGUAUGAAAUAUCCCAGCUUAACUGGGAGGGGUUAUGCCAGACUGCAACUCUAGAGGACGAGAGAGGGGGGUGGAAUUCCGGGUGUAGUGGUGAAAUGCGUAGAGAUCCGGAGGAACCCCAGAGGCGAAGGCGGCCCCCUGGCUCGUACCUGACGCUCAGCCACGAAAGCAUGGGGAGCGAACGGG